GAAAUGUCUCCAUGAGAUCCAGCUGUAAGGCAUUUCCUCAAUUAGUGAUUAAGGGGGGAGGGCCCCUUGUGGGUGGUACCAUCCCUAGGCUGGUAGUCUU
rnacentral:miRNA from 14 species